UCUGGAUCAAGUGGAGCACGCCAACUCUCGCUGAUCAAGAAUCCUAAGAAGGGGGACCGUCAACUUGCCUACCUACACCUGCGGGCAUUAAAUGCAGGCCCCGGGAAAUAGGACGUCAGUACGAAUAAUGUACUAAGUAUGUAAGGCAUGAAAAUCAGUACAUAAGAGACAUAGAUGAAACAUUGAAUAAGGAAUUCUGCCUGUAAGUCUAAAUAACUUUGCAAAUCCUGAAACAGUUAUAAUAUCAUGCACGUGCGUGUAAAUGUCGUGUCAUGCAUAGGUAUAGGUGUACAUAACAUCAUUAAGCCUCUGAGGGCAUCCCGUCAUAUCAUCUUGGCCACUGUGGGCAAAAUCAUCAACAUAUACCAACUGAUCAGGUGGUGGUGCGUAUAUAAAGCCGUAAUCUUUUCCCAUAUCCCAUAUACAUAUAAUAUACAUGUAUAUAAUGCCAUCUGGUCAUGGGUCAAUGUACAUGUAUAAAUGCAUGAAAUACAUAAGAAAUACGUUAAUAAGAUUUCUCGUAAUUCCAUAAAAAUCAAUAUGCCUUUCAAAUAAACUUUAUCAAAUACGUAUUUUUCUGAGACCCAUGAACAGAGGAUAUAAUAAUAAUUCACAUGGGGAAUCAAGAAUAUAGACACCCCUAGUAUUUCUAUGAAUAAAGUCAUUUAUGAAAGUUGCAUAUUUUGCUCGUUUCAUUAGUAUUAUUUGGAUCAUGCCAAAAAGAAAGAAGAGAUAACCUUCACAUACCUGGAGUAGAAAAAAAUCCGUAUGAUAUUCUUGGAAAAAGUUGCACCGUACUUCUUUAGAACCGCGAAGUUUCACGUUGCUACUGUGCUAAGAAAUUUCGUUGGUUGAAGAAAUCACGUUGUAGUGUCUUUGUAGGAACUUGUAGGAAUUGUAGGAAUUUGUAAGAAACUGUGUUGCUAAUGUGCUAAAGCUCACGUUCUUGAUUGUAGUGUUGUGUAAGGAAUUGUAAGAAUCUGAUUGUAGUGGUUGAG
rnacentral:lncRNA from 1 species